CGUGUAGGUGGUUGUGUAAGUUCGGCGUGAAAUCUCUCGGCUUAACCGGGAGUGGUCGUCGGAUACUGCACGACUAGAGGACGGUAGAGGCGUGUGGAAUUCCGGGUGUAGUGGUGAAAUGCGUAGAGAUCCGGAGGAACACCAGUGGCGAAGGCGACACGCUGGGCCGUACCUGACACUGAGGCGCGAUAGCAUGGGGAGCAAACAGGAUUAGAAACCCUGGUAGUCCAUGCCGUAAACGAUGCUAGCUGGGUGUUCAGGGGGGGAAACCCCUCGGGGUACCGAAGUCAACACGGUAAGCUAGCCGCCUGGGGAGUACGGUCGCAAGAUUAAA
rnacentral:rRNA from 1 species